ACCCAGGUGCCCCACAUUUGUUCCCAUUCUUAAUAAAAAUCAGGGCACACCACAGAGUGGGGAGAGGACUGGACUGGAUAUUGUGAGCAGGCACCUGUAGGGGGCGCUGGCCCACCUGAAUAAUCCGGGAUGAUUUCACCUCAAGAUCCUCAAUCACCUCUCUGCAGAGUCCCCUUUUUCCACAUAAGGUCCUAUUCACAGAUUCCAAGGAUCAGGACAUGGACAUAUCUUUGGGGGUGGGGGGGUCCGCCAUUCAACCCACAAGAAUGCUCCCCCACUCGUGUCCCCACAAGAGCCUGAAAGAACCAAGAAAGACAUUCCUUGUUCUAUGGGUGGAGCCUGAGGUCACCGCUGAAGACUCUUCAUGGAAAUGUUUUGAAUAAUUCUUCCCAUGUGCCUUAGCAAUGUCACUUUACUGCUCUUCCCAUCAAGAGGUGAAGUUGUCUCUCCUCCCUUGAAUCCCAAGCUUGGCAAUGUGACUUAUUUUGGCCAAUGGGACUUUAGCAAAUGUAAGCAGAGGCUUGAAACACACUUGGGCAUGAGGAUUGCCCUCUCUUUGGCCAUGGUUGGAAGGCGGACAUUAUGAUGUGGAUGGGCCUGAGCUAGUUGCUGAAGAGGCCACAUUGAGAACUGAAGUAUCUCAGCCCUAAGCUUGCUGACUGCUAGAUAUGUGAGAACAUGCUAGAUCAUCCAGCCCUAAUCAAACCACCAGGUGAGUACAGCUGCAUGCAUGACCCCAGGGAAGCCCAGUGGACAAACCACCAACUGAGCCCAGCCAAACUGCUGACCUACACACUACUGAGCCAAGAACACGGCUGUUGUUUUGAGCCACUAGAUUUUGGGGUGGUUUUCUGCUAUACCUGAUACAGUCCCCAUGCAG